UUGGCCCACAGCUGGAUGCUAUGUUCAGCUUUUACAUGCUUCUAUUUGCUGGUUCCUGGCACUGCUUUAUGUCAACUUCAUGCAUGCACAGAGAAAUCUGUUGCAGCAGCCCUCCCAGACUGAUUAAUAUUCCAGAGACACUGAAUUACUUGAGCAAUGGAGGGAGAGGCAAACCCGGAAGGAGGAAGUCAUUGAUGUUUCCAGACACGUGGGAGUCAUAGAUAUUUCGAGGAGGCCACAGGCCUCUGUGGAGAGUCUCUGAGCCUGAUUUGAGGGUGUGUGACGACAACACCAAGGCAGGCCCUGAAAACUGGGAGAGUGGAGAGCUUGGACCUCACCCCGCUUGAUGGGACCCUCCUGGCUCCAACCUCCUGCUGUGCCAUCUUGGACCCAAGUCCCACCACUCCUGUGAGCCUCAGUUCGACCUGCUUCCCUCUCUCCCAUGCUCCCACAGUUGCUGGGAGGGCAAGAUGAGAACAGCUCCUUGUAGACUGUAAAGGGUGUCACACAUUCAUGCUAUGGGCCUUGCACGCGCUUCACCCACACUUGGAGCAGCCUUGCACCAGGUGCGUCCGGU